rnacentral:rRNA from 1 species
UAAGGAAUAUUGCUCAAUGGGAGAAAUCCUGAAGCAGCAACGCCGCGUGGAGGAUGAAGGGUCUAUGACUUGUAAACUCCUGUAAAGAAGGAAAAAAUUCCCAUUUGAUGGGAGAUGAUGGUACUUCUGGAGUAAGCCCCGGCUAACUACGUGCCAGCAGCCGCGGUAAUACGUAGGGGGCAAGCGUUGUCCGGAUUUACUGGGUGUAAAGGGUGCUCAGGCGGAUUUGUAAGUCAGAGGUGAAAUCUUACAGCUUAACUGUGAAACUGCCUUUGAUACUGCAAGCCUAGAGUAUGGAAGAGAGUGAUGGAAUAGCUGGUGGAGCAGUGAAAUGCGUAGAUAUCAGAUAGAACACCCAUGGCGAAGGCAGUCACUUGGUCCAUUACUGACGCUAAAGCACAAAGGCGUGGGUAGCAAACA